rnacentral:rRNA from 1 species
ACAACUUUCAACAACGGAUCUCUUGGCUCUUGCAUCGAUGAAGAACGUAGCGAAUUACGAUAUGUAAUGUGAAUUGCAGAAUUCAGUGAAUCAUCGAAUCUUUGAACGCACCUUGCGCUCUUUGGUAUUCCGAAGAGCAUGCCUGUUUGAGUGUCAU